rnacentral:rRNA from 1 species
GAUGAACGCUGGCGGCGUGCCUAAUACAUGCAAGUCGAGCGAACAGACGAGGAGCUUGCUCCUCUGACGUUAGCGGCGGACGGGUGAGUAACACGUGGAUAACCUACCUAUAAGACUGGGAUAACUUCGGGAAACCGGAGCUAAUACCGGAUAAUAUAUUGAACCGCAUGGUUCAAUAGUGAAAGACGGUUUUGCUGUCACUUAUAGAUGGAUCCGCGCCGCAUUAGCUAGUUGGUAAGGUAACGGCUUACCAAGGCGACGAUGCGUAGCCGACCUGAGAGGGUGAUCGGCCACACUGGAACUGAGACACGGUCCAGACUCCUACGGGAGGCAGCAGUAGGGAAUCUUCCGCAAUGGGCGAAAGCCUGACGGAGCAACGCCGCGGGAGUGAUGAAGGUCUUCGGAUCGUAAAACGCUGUUAUUAGGGAAGAACAAAUGUGUAAGUAACUAUGCACGUCUUGACGGUACCUAAUCAGAAAGCCACGGCUAACUACGU